rnacentral:tRNA from 1 species
CGGAGAGUGGCGCAGUCCGGUUAGCGCGCUCGUCUGGGGGGCGAGAGGUCGCGGGUUCAAAUCCCGCCUUUCCGA